UAUUUGUCCUUUAUUGAGGAAGCUCUUCUCUAUUUCUAAUAUGUUGAGAGUUUUGGUAGUUGACUUUUUAAAAAUACUUUUCCAGCAUCCAGUUUAAACUGACCAUAUGUUUUUCUUCUUUACAAAAUCAGUUGGGUGCUCGCUUGGCAGCACAUAUACCAGAAUUGGAACGAUACAGAAAGGAUUAGCAUGGCCCCUGCACAAGGAUGACAUGCAAAUUCGUGAAGCAUUCCAUAUUUUUUUGGAUUUAUGUCAG